UCACACUAGUGCGUGGAUAUUGACACACAUCAAGCUUCCAACUUGCCAAGCAAGGUAUGAAUUCUAACUCCGACAAAAUUUCGGGCUUCAUUCUUACAUUCUCUUUCAAUGUGUGGAUUUAGUUAGAAUGUAUUGUGGUAGAUUGGUGUACUAUUGUGAAUUUGGGGAACUUUCAUGGUAGUGUAUGUAAGAAAUAGGAAGUAAUUCACAUUGCACACCAAGUGUUCGACGAAAUGCCACAUUAACGCAUGUUUUGAUUUUUU
rnacentral:lncRNA from 1 species